GAUCCGUUGGUCAAGCGGUUAAGACACUGCCCUUUCACGGCGGUAACACGGGUUCGAAUCCCGUACGGAUCA
rnacentral:tRNA from 1 species